UCUUGCGCAAUGGGCGAAAGCCUGACGCAGCGACGCCGCGUGGGUGAUGAAGGCCUUCGGGUUGUAAAGCCCUGUGGGGAGGGACGAAUAACAACGACCCAAUACGUCGUUGGAUGACGGUACCUCCUUAGCAAGCACCGGCUAACUACGUGCCAGCAGCCGCGGUAAUACGUAGGGGGCAAGCGUUGUCCGGAUUUAUUGGGCGUAGAGCGCUCGCAGGCGGCCUGACCAAGUCGUGCGUGAAAUCUCUCGGCUCAACUGGGAGCGGUCGUGCGAUACUGGUCGGCUAGAGGUCGGUAGGGGGAAGUGGAAUUCCGGGUGUAGUGGUGGAAUGCGUAGAUAUCCGGAGGAACACCAGUGGCGAAGGCGGCUUCCUGGACCGAUUCUGACGCUCAGGAGCGAAAGCGUGGGUAGCGAUC
rnacentral:rRNA from 1 species